GGCGCUGUAGUGUAGCGGUUAUCACUCAAGAUUCUGAUAAAGAUCCCCCAUUACUCUUUGAUGAAUUCUUGUAACCCCGGUUCGAAUCCGGGCAGUGCCU